GUUUGUAUAAAACAGUACAAUUUUGCUGACUUAGUAUUAGUAUCAGCUUGUUUCAGUACAGACGAUCAGAUUUUCAAUCAUGAUGAAACUAGUUUUAGUUACACUCUGUGUCCUAGUAGUUGCGGCUUAUGCCGUAGAUGUGGACAUGGAUUUUGUUGAAUCAGCUCUAGCCUUCAAGGAACAAGUAAUGAGGAGGGAUGCUGAGGAAAACAUGGUGAAAAGAGGAAUGCUUGACUUAAAUGGACAAUGUUCAGAGAUCGGUGGUGAUUGUCAUAUGUUCCGACCAUGUUGUAAUAAUAAAAAAGUCAGAUGCUCCAAUUUCUUAGGGGGUGAAUGUAUCCCUCGUACUUAACCUCCAGAUUAUAAAUUAUUGGAUUGGAAAAGUAGUUCUAUAAAUGACGGAAUGUUUCAAGUUAUCCUCCAGAUUGUUAGAAAUAUGUUUAUAAUAUUGUAUUUAGUAUGACUGUAUAUAGCAAGUGAUUGUACUAUAAUAAAAUAUAGUAAACUCAUUA